CGCUACCCGAUGCCAACCAUAAGGCCAUAUGAUUUUCAUGAAUAGAAUCAAACCGAAUUACUAAUAUUUACUACAGAAAUUUCAAAAUUUUCGAUAUCUCAACAUUCAUAAUAAUAUAAACAUCAUUUAAUUGUAAACAGAAUUGGUUUAUAUCCAUUGGAGAAAAGUUCACAGCUAUUUACUAAUUCAACAAUUAGCAAGAUAAUAAUAUAAUAACUGAAAUUGUGUCAACACAAUUAACAUCUAAAUACGCAAUAAAAUUGAAUAUUCACAGUUACACUCAAUUAUGAUCUUCGAUAUUAAAUGAAUCACCAUCAGAAAAUUCUGGUUAAUUUUGAUAAAAAGACAAAGAAAAAUUCUGAUUCCAAAUAAUCAUUUAGGUUUUUUUUUUCAUUAAAUGAUAAUCAUUGUUUUCAUUUCUUUAUCAAUAUUAAUCAAUUGUUUCAAUUCAGUGAUCAAUAAUCAAUCAACUAACAGAGUGAUUAAAUAUAUUGGUUUCCUUGUAAUUGUACUCGAAAGAUUAGUAAUUAUUUUUACUAUUUUUUUUUAUUCAUAGUUGAUUUAAUUAAUAGAUCUAAACAAAGUUCAAUGAUGAUCAAAACUCAUGAUUGCUUAUCAAAUUGUCAAUAUUAGUUUAUUGAUUGAUUAUUGGUUACUGAUUUGAUUGCAAUUAGAUUACAAUUAUGUUCAUGUAUUGAUUAUCUAUCUAUUGUCUUAGUGAUUAGUCAAAAUAAUUGAAGUAUUUGCUGUUACUUUUUUGAUUACUGAAUCAAAUCACUAAACACUGAUUUAAAUUAGAUUGUGAUUUAAUAAUAAUAACAUGAAUACAUAAAUUGCAGCUACAAUUAACAGAAAAUAGUAAUUAUUUAGUAAUUGUGACAAAAAAUAAACUUCAAAAAUGAAUAAGUUUUUUUCAAGUAAUAUUUUCAUUUCUUUUGAUACAAUUGAUUUUAAUCAAAUCAAUUCAAUCAUCAAGUAUGAACUGUAAGGGCAAAUGCUCAAGUGAUUUAAGUGCCUUAGACUGGUGAAAGGUUACAAUUUGAUAUUGGAAAUACUGACAAUUUAAAUGGUCAAGCUCAAGAAAUUGGAGUCCAUUUUAUCAAAUGCUGGGUACCAGGAUUGUAAUUCCCUGCGGUAGACGGACAGAGAUGGGAAACGCUACGUCAAAAUCCUAUCCCGAUGAUAAAGUUGACCUGAUUGAUGGUAAAUCAAUUUACCAUUAAACGAUAAUCAAUUAUGGUGCAAUCGGACAAUUAUUCAGGAAGAUGAUUCCUCUUUUCCUUUGGCUUUAAUUGAAUCUGGUCAGUUAAUUGUUGAACCAACUCGAUACCAAGUUACCUUUCAUCUUAAUUAGUGAUGUUUUGGUUUGAAAAGUUGAUUGUUAUACUUACAAUUUGUUUGGUUCAAGUAAGAAACGAUUGUCGCUGAUCUUGUUCAUUUUAUGUUAACCUUACGGUCACUUUUUGCAAAAUUUCAAUCAUCAGUUGCUAAUCUUCAAUGAUAAUAUUCAAUUAAUUGUGUGAACAAACAAUUUACAUGCUAUGGAAAGAUGAGGAUGAAAAAAUGAUUCUCAUGAAGAGAUUAUCUUUCCACUAACAUAAUGAAUACUCACCCUGAGAUUCAGGGUUGUUAUGUGAAAAUACUAAUAGGAUUUGACUUGUUCAUCCACCAAGAUAAUCAUAAAUAUUAGUACAUAUGAUAAUCUUAUGAUUAUAAGUCUAUGGAUCAGUUAGUUAGUUAAUUUUGUUGGUGACAAACAACAAUCACUGAGAAAAAAAAGUAAUCAUUUGGUGGCUUUUGAUUACCUUGGUUGCUUACCUGUGAGUGUGUUGAUUAACCUUCUUGUUUUUGUAUCUUCGUAACGAGAAAAUCAUCAAAUCGGAACAAUGGGAAAAACAAACUAACUUUGUUUUCCCUAUUUCUUGAUUGUUGACAAUUAACGAUUCGAUGUAUGUGUCUGUAUAUAUUUUCCCUGUUAAGAUUCAUGCCUUUAAGACUUUGGUACAUUAGAACUUUUUUCCUUCACCUUCCAACAACUAAGAAAAUGAAAACAUUUCCUUUUGGGCGGAAAUGAAGUCCACCCUUAUCCCAGUAACUUCCGUUUCUCUUUAAACUGAUCACACCCGAGGUUCCUUUCGGGUAAUGUAAUAAUAUAAUGGGAAGAUGAUGAUGAUGAUGAAGAGAGGAAGAUAAAUAUUUCGUAUAUUAUGUAUUUAUGGAUAAGAAAUUGUUACGAUAUUUAUUAUGUAAGUUAAAUAACAAAUUGGGCGGAAAUGGGCUCAUAGCGAUUAACAUAAUCACCUUAAUCUUUUUCAAUUUUGUUUCCCUCCGUUUGUUGAUGAUUAAGUUUAACAUGAUAAUCUAUCUGAUUAAUUAUUACUCUUUAAAUUGUUUCAAUUAAUUGGUUGUUGGAUUGGAGAUUUUAUUAGAAGACUGUUGGUUAUAAUUAAUUUCGAUUGAUUGGAAAUUUUUGAUCGAAACUUAUGAAAUUGGAAUAUAAUAUUUGCUCUUGUCUUUUGAUCGAGAUUUAAUCGGUUCGUUUUCUUUUGAUCGAUUUCAAUGGAUACGAAUUUAUGUUCAUAAUCGAAAGCUUCGAUUCUAAACGGAAAAGACUUGUAAAAGUUUUAUUCGAUCACCUUUCGAUUAGAUCGAUUGACGAAAAAAUUACCUUCGAAUCCAUUUAAAAGUCCAUUAGGUGCCAUCUAUUAGAUGGCCUGGUUAAUAGUAUUAUUUAAGUGUGAGCUUUAAAAUUCCCGUUAAAAUGACCUACAAGAGGAUCUGAUUGGUGAAUUUUUAAUAAUUGAGAAAAAAAUGUUAAUAAGGAACCAAAAUUUAGACAACCGAUUGAGAAAAUUAGUCUCAUCCCCUUUAGACUUAAAUCUUCAUACGAAUUAAAGUCCAAGUUUGUAAGCGGUCACUUCGUUAGCAUUUUAAAAGUCCAAAUUUAAAAGGAAAAGUUUGAGGAGAGCGCAGACAAAGUCUCCAUCUAGUGUUUCGGAUUGAAACCAAACUGAGAUGUUAGUUGAAAAUUCGAUAUUAGUGCUGCCAUCUAGUGUAUGAGAAGGAAAAUUGGAUAAAAAGAUCGAAAAUAAUUGAUAACAUUAUUGAUCUUAUCUAUUAGCUAAUGAUCACGAUCGUUUGUAAGGAACAAAAGAAAAAGAAGCAACAUUUUCGAUCUGAUAAUAUUUUUCUUUAUUCAUAUUGCAAAUAAUGUCCAGAAGAACAAAGUUAUUAUAAAGAAAGUGGGAGAAAAAGAGAAAGAUAGAUAACAAGAAAAUUCAUAGAACCCUAACCAAAGAAUCCACAUGAAAAGUAAUUCAGCAAAGAGAGAGAGAGAGAGAGAGAGAGAGAGAGAGAGAGAGAGAGAAGAGAAAAACUUGUUCAAAAUCCAAGGUUAAUCCAUUAAGGGAGCAAUAGCAAAGAAGAUGAUGAUGAUGGAGUGAGCGAAAGAAAAAGAGAAAUAUAGAAGAAAAAGGCGAUGAAGAAGAUGAAGAAGAUGAAGAGAAUGAUGAUGAUGAUGUAGACGAGAAGGCAAAAUAAUAUUAGAUGACCUGAAGGCAAAGAAGAGAAAAUCUUCAAGAAAAAGUUAUACAAAUAUCAGAACAAAAUAUCAUCUUUUAUGAACAAAGAACUCGAUAAUCUUAAGUGAUACGAGGUUACCAUUCACAUUGAAUUUACCAUUCAUCAAUUUAAACUACAACAAUCAAGGGUAACAAUCAAAAAAGAUCAAGGUAAAUGGUUAUGUAUGUUAAGGGGCAGAAAUAAAGUUGAACCUUUGAAAAAAACCAUCAAAAUUUAAUAUGACAUUAAAAACCAUAUCAAAUGGUGCACAAACCUUACCCUCCCCGUCCCUAAUGCUUAAAUAUAUGUACACAUAUCAACGUAAAUAUAUAUACAUGGUAACCCAAAAUUUCAUUAAAUGUAUCAAAAAGUCCAAUGGAUAAACAAAGGACGAAAAAUAGUAACAAAAGUUGCACAAAUUGACUUCGGACAAUGAUAUUGACCCUCGGGUCACAACAGGUUAUUACAUUUUCAUUGCAGUUCUCUGGCACUACUACUGGUAACAAUAUUAUUCCGUUUUUUUUGCAAUGUGUGUUUUUUAAUGACCUUUGCAAAAGAGGGAGGAGAAGAAGGUAAAAAGGUGAGCGAAAGAAAAGAGAAAGAAAUAAAGAGAGAGAAAAAAAAUUCUUUCUAAACGAUUACAGGUAAGAAAGAAGAAGAAAAAAACUAUGGAUUGAAGAGGAAACUCCAGAGGUGGAAAGAGCGUUUGAUGAUGGCGAGAGAGAGAGAGAGAGAGAGAGAGAGAGCGACUUGUAUGUAUUUAACUUUGAUAUUUUUUCUUCAUCAUCAUCAUCAUUUUCUUCUUUCUCUUCAUCUUUAAGAAGAAGAAGAAGAAGAAGAAGAUGAAGAAGAACCAAUUACCUGUUACGCUAACAACAUUUGAAGUGGAAAAGAUUCUUGAUACGCUCACUGAGCAUUUCCGUUCACCAGAAUAAGAGAAACUCACCAAAAGUGAAGGAGAAAAAGAAAAGAAGGUGAAGAAGUAAAACAAGAUGAUGAUGAAAAGAAGAUGAUCAUCAUGAGUGAGAAAGAGGGAGAAAAGCAAGUUGAAGAAGAUAAAGAGAGAGAGAGAGAGA